rnacentral:rRNA from 1 species
CCUACGGGAGGCAGCAGUGGGGAAUUUUGGACAAUGGGCGCAAGCCUGAUCCAGCCAUGCCGCGUGUGGGAAGAAGGCCUUCGGGUUGUAAACCACUUUUGUCAGGGAAGAAACGGCUUUUUCUAAUACAGAGAGCUAAUGACGGUACCUGAAGAAUAAGCACCGGCUAACUACGUGCCAGCAGCCGCGGUAAUACGUAGGGUGCAAGCGUUAAUCGGAAUUACUGGGCGUAAAGCGUGCGCAGGCGGCUUUGCAAGACAGAUGUGAAAUCCCCGGGCUCAACCUGGGAACUGCAUUUGUGACUGCAUGGCUAGAGUACGGUAGAGGGGGAUGGAAUUCCGCGUGUAGCAGUGAAAUGCGUAGAUAUGCGGAGGAACACCGAUGGCGAAGGCAAUCCCCUGGACCUGUACUGACGCUCAUGCACGAAAGCGUGGGGAGCAAACAGGAUUAGAUACCCUGGUAGUCCACGCCCUAAACGAUGUCAACUGGUUGUUGGACGGCUUGCUGUUCAGUACGAAGCUAACGCGUGAAGUUGACCGCCUGGGGAGUACGGCGCAAGGUUGAAACUCAAAUUGAAUUGACGG